rnacentral:hammerhead_ribozyme from 1 species
GAGCUACUGAAGAGUCCCACAAUAGGACGAAACGGUCGUUCAGUGC